AUCUGUACCAUAGUAAAAUUUUAUAGUUGAGUAGAUAGUGAAUGGGCUAUGUGGUGUUAUUUGGAAGGAUUUUGAAAAAUAAAAGAUGAGUUAGUACCUACGGAAGAGGUUUGGUGUAAGGUACCGGACUUCUAAAACUAUGAAGUUACGGUGUACAUUUAAAUGGUUCCGGUGAGAUUGCGGUGGAAUGUAACAUACCGAAUUUUAAAUAUAAAAGUAAAAAUAAAUAAAAAUAGUAUAAGAUACUAUUUUUAUUGGAUUUAGAGAAGUGAAAUAUAGGUUGGGAAUGACCUGUGCUGAAAUCGGAGCGAAAGCAGAAGAUUUAGAAUUUUCUGUGAGAAACGGGGCAGAUAAAUUAGCAGAAAAUACAUAGUGUCAGAAAAUUAUGAAAACUGGUGGAUAUGUCAGAAUCAUUUUUAUGAUGCUAGAUUUAAAGUUUCAUGCCAUUCUGACACCCGAAAAAUAGAAAAUAAAAUCGAACUGCUAUCAGCUAAAGAUUAUAGUUCGGCACAGCUUUCGGUGACCAAAUGGGGUCGAAACUGAAAACUUAAGAUAUAUUCUUACUCAGUAUGUUAAACCGAGCCUGCCUGUCAAAUUUGAGCGCAAACGGACGUUCAGAAGGGCUUCGACUGUUCCGAACUGCUAAACUGCAAGUUGUAAUAGGUGUGAGAGGGGGUUUUGUGCAAUUGUUACAGCCCCUACUAGUGGCCUGGCAGCAUGCGCACACACACACACCCGCACACGUCUUCUCCCUCUCCUUCACACUUGCAACCGAAGGAAGAAAACCCUCACUUUCUCUCUCUUAAAGGUGGGAAAAAGGAGAAGGAUUGGUAGAGAAGAAAGCUUGGAGGAAAAGUUCAUCUUCUUCAUCUUCCUCAAUGGACCAUUAGAGCAAGCUUUGAGGUAAGCUUCUUGGAGCAUCCAUGGUAGAACUCUAGAAUAUGGAUUUUGAUCUCUAUAAAUGGUAUUUUUGGAAUUUUAGGAUGCUAAAUAGAUGAUUGUUGCUUAAAUCAUGGAUCAAUUUAGUUAUUUCUUGCAAUAGUUGUAAGCUAGGGCUCCAAUGGCAUUUUUGCUAGUAGAAGGGUUUGAUCUAAAUUAACCCUCCGUAAACUUAAUUGCUAGGUAAACGAACGCAUUGGCGAAGUCGGUUCGGCGAUUCGUCGAGCCGUUGUGAAGUUAUUAAAGAACAAACGUUAGGCUUCGUUUCCGCCUGGAGGGCCGAGGCGACGUUCAAAAAUCAUGAAAACGGAUUUGGAGCACUGUAGCAACAAAACGAAGACCCUUUUUGCCCGAGGCUGCGAAGCGAUGCGCGGUUGGUGAGCAAUUUUGAGUUCGGGCCGAACCGGGCACCAGGUGCCGCGGGAGGCCGAUUGCAAGUGUCGACAAACAAUCGGAACGAGAAACGAGGUGGGUUGUAUUUACCGAAGCGACUAGGUCGCCCUUUAUGUCUAAGAAACAUACGAAUUCAUAUUGAUGCAUAUUAAUAAAAUGACAUAGCUAAUGCAUGUGGACAAUGUGAUGCAAAAUGCUAAGUAGAUGCAUAUAAAAUGAUGUAAUAUAGAAAUGCUAGAAUACAUGAUGGCAUUUGCAUAUUAACGUAAAGUAGAAUACAUGCUAGUGAUAAUGCAAGUGAUAUGUAUGUGUGCAUUGGAAUGUAUGCUAGGUGCAUGUAACAUCAUGUGAGCAUGUUAGACAAGAUGCAUGUGCAUAUGGACUCGAUAUGACAAAUAAGAUGUCAAGUAGAUCGAGUGGCAUUAACCUAGUAUUAAUAAACAUAGGUUGGACAUAGAUGAUAUUGAACCUAGCGUUGUUGAACGUAAGAUAAAUAACGAGUGGCAUCUAACCUAGUGUUAAAGGACAUAGGUUGAGUAUGAACCUAGAGUCGGGAUCUAGGUGUGUGGCAGCUAACCUAGUGUUAAAGAACAUAGGUUGAGUAUGAACCUAGAGUCGGGAUCUAGGUGUGUGGCAUCUAACCUAGUGUCAAAGAACAUAGGUUGAGAACUGAACCUAGAGUUAAAGUAAACCUAGGUUGUGAAAUUGAGGCAUUAAACCUAGAGUUAGUUGGACCUAGGGUGGAAAGUGCAUUGUACCUAGAUAGGUCGACAGUAUAGGGUUGGAUAUGGACCCUUGACUUGUGAAGUGGAUUCCGGAAUCCCGAGACUUCUGAGCUCAAUAGUUCUUGGACCGCAGGUAUAUGUGGCAUGUUCCUCUCCUACUGGAAGAACUUUGAGUAUUGUGACUGAGCAAGAAUAGAUAGCGCUAGGGUGUAUGCGGCAUGUUCCUCUCCCUAUCGGGGAUCUUGGCUAUGGGUGUAUGCGGCAUGUUCCUCUCCCACUGGCAGAUCCCUGACCACGGUGCAUGGACCUUCGGGCGGACCGUUGGGCGAUGUGGUUCUUGGCUUGCAGGCUGAGGUGCAUGUGACAGGGUCCUUCACCUCGAGCCGGCAGAGUGCGGAUUAUCCGCAGUUGAUUGACUCGAGGCCGAGUUGGGUGGCUAGCUGGAAUAAGGUGGAUAGAACCUUGAGGGCUAGUGGUAAAUGUGAUAACCUAAGGUAAUAGAAACCUUAGAGUUGGAUGACAUGAGCUAAGAUUAGCAAGAUUGAUUGUAGAAUCAAUAGAUCUACUAGUUGUUGCAUAUAUAUUCAUGUUGCAUAUAGCAUGGCAUCGUUUCAGUUGUGAGGCAAAGCAAGGUAAAGUUAGUUGCAUGUUUUUUAUAUAUAUAUCUAUCUGUUUAUUGGACUAACUUGUAUUUGCCUCCCUUGGGUGGCCGUACCCACUGGGAACCAUGGAGUUGGUUCUCACCCCACGUUGUUUUGGGGUGUUUCAGGUUGGCACGUGAGCAGCGCGGCGGCGCAAGGCAAGGGCGUAGCUCUAUAGAUAGCACCCUACCCCAGAGACCAGAGAUAGCGGUACCCCGAGUCGGCAUAGCCUGGGGGUAGAGGAAAAUGAAAAGAACAAAUGUAUCAAACUCGUAAUGAAUAAAUGAUGUAAUAACUUAUUUUGCAUUUGGGAGUUGAAUGUAAUGUACAAAUGAAUCUCAUGUGAAUGGUUGUAAUAACAUAGGAUGUGUUAUGUUUUUGAUACUUCCUUAUGCAAUCUAUAUGUUGAAUACUGUUCCUGGUUGGAACCUUCAUAUAUUGUAUUGAUUGCGACGCCUAGGACGUACAGGGAAAACUCUGUCCGUUCAGCGGUUUGUCGGCGUGCCGAACCUGACCAAAUAGGCGGGGCUCGGGGCGUGACAUUUGGACCAUGAGAAAGAUGAGCUCAAUGGAUGAGGAUCACACUAUGGUUUAAUUGGUAAAUUGUCGACUAAGGAUCACGUCUAGAAUGUCCAAUUGAUGCUUGCAGGAGUUUGAAGUCGUAGAAGUAAUUGUCAAGUUUCGGGUGAAGAAGGAUGAUAGAGGUGGCUUGUGUGGUGCGCUGGACUUCGCAAAUUAGUGAAUUUCCAGUGACAAAUAGUAAUUGAUACUAUUUAGAUAGUUUUAGUGGUUUUUGACAUGUUGGACUAAUUUUAGUGUGAAUAUUGUAAGGUGCCGAACUUCUGUAGUUAUGAAGUUGCGGUGGAAUGUAAUAUACCGGAUUUUAAUAUAAAAGUGAAAAUAAAUAAAAAUAAUAUAAGAUACUAUUUUUAUUGGAUUUAGAGAAGUGAAAUAUAGGUUGGGAAUGACCUGUACUGAAAUCGGAGCGAAAACAGAAGAUUUAGAAUUUUCUGUGAGAAACGGGACAGAUAAAUUAGCAGAAAAUGCAUAGUGUCAGAAAAUUAUGAAAAUUGGAGGAUAUGUCAGAAUUAUUUUUAUGAGGCUAGAUUUAAAGUUUCAU
rnacentral:lncRNA from 1 species